CGGACAGGGGGGUUCCUGCCAUCGGCGGGGCCUGUCCGAUCGGGCCGCGCGACUGCGCGGCCAGUGGUUGUCGCUCGGGGGUGAUCGCCG
rnacentral:sRNA from 1 species